rnacentral:rRNA from 1 species
UACGAGUGGUGCGAACGUUAUUCGGAAUUAUUGGGCGUAAAGGGUGCGCAGGCGGUGCGCUAAGUCAACUGUUAAAUAUCCCAGCCUAACUGGGAAAAAGCGGUAGAUACUGGCGUGCUAGAGGAUGGAAGAGAGAAGUGGAAUUCUUGGAGUAGCGGUAAAAUGCGUAGAUCUCAAGAGGAACACCGAUGGCGAAGGCAGCUUCUUGGUCCAUUCCUGACGCUCAUGCACGAAAGCGUGGGGAGCAAACAGG